ACUAUGCCUGUGGGUGGCGCGUACACCCCAGGGAAUUUACUAUUAAAAAAAAAACACGCCUUUCCUCCGGUGAAGACGCUACUAGAAAGCAACAAGGACUGGUUGAAAGCUGUGAGAGAGAGAGUUAAGCCGCAUGACAGCGAGCUUCUCAAGAUACCUCCGAUUGGUUUUAGAAAGGGAUAGACCAUUUGAAUCUGACCCUGGUGGUCAGUGGCGAGCCAACCGCAGAAGUGAACGGACCAAGAGCCUGGUGUGGCCAGCCGUGGCAACUUUGGAACCAUCAUCAUCCUGUGCCUUCAAUUGAAAUACAGAUAAGAACACACGUAAACCUACCCGGGUAGUGAAAAGAACAUGCAUACUCCAAGAAACACACACACACCAAGAACUUUCUUGGACUCUUUCUUUAUUUGAGGUUAUUUAUUUUGGGUUUAUUGUGCGCUGUGCACUCAGGAAGCCGGCUUAGGUAGGCAGGGAAUGUAAAUAACUGCCAUUCAUUUUGUAUAAUACAUUUCUCAAAUUUACCUGUUUUGUGUUGUCUGUUCUCUGCUGACCUUUUACUAUUUCAGGCUCCGUAGUCGUACCUAGAGGUUCUGAUAUUAGCCCAGCUUUAAUUCCUUACUACUUAAAUUAGUUAUCAGUUACACUAACCUGAGACCCGGGUUACAUGUACAUUUGGCCCUGACCACAUAUCCAGUGAAAAGACAAAUGUAAACAUGUUUGUGAUGUAUGAAUGUAAUCCAAUCGCGAGGUAUAUUCAGGACUCGGGACGCAUCAUGAUUGGAUCAUCAUAUCCACAUUCACACGUCGACAUUAUACAAACCUCACCCAUUAUCAUUAUGUCCCCUUCUAUUUCCAAGGGCUUUACCAGAAAAUAGACUUGAAGGCUCUUUUGUGCAUAGACUAAUUUGCAGCUGAUUGGUCGUUGCAUUCACAUGUCUAAUUGUGAUUGGCUAAAAUGCUCAAAGCUGCAAAAACAAAGAAACACAUAAAUAGAAUCCUUUGGCACAGCGGGAGUAGAUCAAAAUGCUGUGUAUGAUUAGCCCUAAUUCGUGUGUAACUG
ensembl:lncRNA